rnacentral:rRNA from 1 species
UGACCAGACUCCUACGGGAGGCAGCAGUGGGGAAUAUUGCACAAUGGGGGAAACCCUGAUGCAGCGACGCCGCGUGAGUGAAGAAGUAAUUCGUUCUGUAAAGCUCUAUCAGCAGGGAAGAAAAUGACGGUACCUGAGUAAGAAGCCCCGGCUAACUACGUGCCAGCAGCCGCGGUAAUACGUAGGGGGCAAGCGUUAUCCGGAUUUACUGGGUGUAAAGGGAGCGUAGACGGCGAUGCAAGUCUGAAGUGAAAGGCGGGGGCCCAACCCCCGGACUGCUUUGGAAACUGUAUGGCUGGAGUGCAGGAGAGGUAAGUGGAAUUCCUAGUGUAGCGGUGAAAUGCGUAGAUAUUAGGAGGAACACCAGUGGCGAAGGCGGCCUGCUGGACGACAACUGACGGUGAGGCGCGAAAGCGUGGGGAGCAAACAGGAUUAGAUACCCCAGUA